CACUGUGUGUGUGCGUGUGCGUGUGUGUGCUGAGAGGAGAGAGAGAGAGACUGGUUUGGUGGUGGAAUUUUCUGGCCAUGGGGCCAGCAUCCUGGCACAGGUGAGGUGCGCCUGAAAGGGGAAAUGAUUUGCCCAAGGCAGUGCCCCUAGGAAUGGCCGAAGUCCGUCUAAACACCAUGUCUUCUGACUCUCAAUCCAGUAUCUUUCCCACUCUCCCUCAUUUCCAGGCAUGGCUUGCUCGUUUUUCAAAAAUCAUCUCGAAGGAUGUCCCAGUUCAACUUCGCCCCAGUUGCUCCAGCGCAGCCCCACGCCAGAACUUGAGCGAGAGCAGCAGUCCGCCUGCCGGGAGGGGGCGCUCGGCGAGGCGGCGGGGCGGCGGGGCGGCGGGGCGGCGGGGCGGCGGGGCGGCGGGGCGGGGCUCUCACUGGUACGAGCUCGGCCGCCCGUCCAAUCAGAGGCGCCGCGCCGUCGCGGGGCCCGUCCGCGGGAAUUUGAAGUGCCUGACUGGGUGGCCGGGAGACGGAGUCUCGGGGUCGCGUGCACCUGGGCGGCCAGGGAGGCUCCAGUGCCCGGGAGAAAGGCAAGAAAACUGA
rnacentral:lncRNA from 1 species